GAUAUCAAAUGUGUGAUUGUAUGCGUUGGUAAAUAAAUUGCGUAUUAUUUUGAGCGGCUCUGAUGUAGACUAUGAUAUUCAUUUUCAAAGCUGCACAGCGUUUAUAAAUUUUUUACUUUUAUCUGCCGCCGACCUCUUGUCGCCACUGAAUACUGCGUAUAUGCAACCGCGUUACUGUUUGCCAUUAUUGUUCUAUUUUUCGUUGUCUUCGGAAACGCUGCGUUUAUGCAUAUACAAUAGUUAUUAUAUUUUCUUAUUUCGUACGCGGACUUACAAACUAAAUAUUCCAAAAUGUCAAAACGGAGCUACAUGAUAAUAAAUGACGAAAAUUCUCCACCUUGUGAGUGUGGAAAUAAAAUGAAAAAAUUGGAAGAAGAGGUGCAGCAAAUGAAAAACUUAAUUUGUGAGCUACAUGGGAAGAUGGAUAAACUGUUAGAGAAAGCAUUUCUGAAAUCUACAAGCCUGGACAUAUUUCCAAUAAAAAGCGUUGAAGAAAUGAAACAUUUUAAGGGAAAUGCUGAAAUGUUUCCAAAAAAUUACGUAAUUUGUAGCAUUAAAGAAUGUUAUUAUUAUUUGGAAAAUUUGUGGUUGAUGCUCUGAAGUCCCCCGAAUACGGCUUCCCAAAUUACGAAAAUGAUAUUAAAAAAUCGAUACAAUUAAUAAAAAAAACCUACGAUAAUAAAUCAAAAUAAUAUAUUGAUGAAUUAAAAGUCUUUCGUGUCAUUAUUAAACAGCUUAUUUUUAUUAAAACAAUAAGGGCUCAUUUACUCCUUUUUUAGAUAGCAGAGGUGAGGCAUCAUUUACUCCUUUUAGAGAUAGCAGAGGUAAGGCCUCAUUUACUCCUUUUAGAGAUAGCAGAGGCGAGGUCUCAUUUACUCCUUUUAGAGACAGCAGAGGUGAGGCCUCAUUUACUCCUUUUUUAGAUAGCAGAGGUGAGGCCUCAUUUAGUCCUUUUUUACGUCGCUUGAGGUGAGGGCUCACGAUGUAGGACAUGCAACGUUAAAAAGAUAUGAAGCUUAUAUGGCGGAGUAAGCCCUUUCUACCUUACAAUUCCGACAUGAAUAAGCCCAUAUGAAGGCCUUUUAUGCCCCGCUGGGUUUGCUUACAUGCCCACAUAAUUACAUGCAUACAUAUGUAUGUACGUAAAUAUGCGC